CCUACGGGUGGCUGCAGUGAGGAAUAUUGGUCAAUGGGCGCAAGCCUGAACCAGCCAUGCCGCGUGCGGGAAGAAGGCGCUACGCGUCGUAAACCGCUUUUGUCUGGGGGUAACCGCAGGGACGUGUCCCUGCCUGCAAGUACCAGACGAAUAAGGGUCGGCUAACUCCGUGCCAGCAGCCGCGGUAAUACGGAGGACCCAAGCGUUAUCCGGAUUCAUUGGGUUUAAAGGGUGCCGGGGAGGCCCGGGCGAAAGGCUCCUGCUCCACAGGAGAGCUGCCGUUGAUACUGCUGGGCUAGAAUCUUAGCGAGGCUGGCGGAAUGCGCGGUGUAGCGGUGAAAUGCAUAGAUAUCGCGCAGAACGCCGAUUGGGGAGCCAGCUCGCCAGCUGAGUAUUGACGCUGAGGCACGAAAGCGUGGGGAUCAAACAGGAUUAGAUACCCCAGUAGUC
rnacentral:rRNA from 1 species